rnacentral:rRNA from 1 species
GACGUAGGGGGCGAGCGUUGUCCGGAUUCAUUGGGCGUAAAGCGCGCGUAGGCGGCUGCGCAAGUCGGUUGUGAAAUUCCGGGGCUCAACCCCGGAACUGCGUCCGAUACUGCGUGGCUAGAGGUAGGUAGGGGAGAUCGGAAUUCCUGGUGUAGCGGUGAAAUGCGCAGAUAUCGGGAGGAACACCGGUGGCGAAGGCGGUUCUC